rnacentral:rRNA from 1 species
AUUGAACGCUGGCGGCAGGCCUAACACAUGCAAGUCGAGCGAGCGGCGGACGGGUGAGUAACGUAUGGGGGCUGCCCGAUCGCGGGGGAUAACUACUGGAAAAGGUAGCUAAUACCGCAUACUAUCGGAUAACCCAUAUGGGAUUAGCUAGUAGGUGAGGUAAUGGCUCACCUAGGCGACGAUCCCUAGCCGGUCUGAGAGGAUGAUCAGCGACACUGGAACUGGGACACGGCCCAGACUCCGACGGAGGCAGCAGUGGGGAAUAUGGCACAAAGGUCGCAAGCCUGAUGCAGCCAUGCCGCGUGUAUGAAGAAGGCGCUAGGGUUGUAAAGUACUUUCAGUCGGGAGGCGUUACCGACAGAAGAAGCACCGGCUAACUCCGUGCCAGCAGCCGCGGUAAUAC